rnacentral:rRNA from 1 species
AUUGAACGCUGGCGGCAGGCCUAACACAUGCAAGUCGAGCGAGCGGCGGACGGGUGAGUAAUGUAUGGGGACCUGCCCGAUAGAGGGGGAUAACUACUGGAAACGGUGGCUAAUACUGCAUAAUAUCGGCUGAACCCACAUGGGAUUAACUAGUAGGUGGGGUAAAGGCUCACCUAGGCGACGAUCUCUAGCUGGUCUGAGAGGAUGAUCGGCCACACUGGGACUGGGACACGGCCCAGACUCCUACGGGAGGCAGCAGUGGGGAAUAUUGCGCAAUGGGCGCAAGCCUGAUGCAGCCAUGCCGCGUGUAUGAAGAAGGCCUUAGGGUUGUAAAGUACUGUCAUCAGGGAGGCGGUACCCGAAGAGAAAGCACCGGCUAACUCCGUGCCAGCAGCCGCGGUAAUAC